AUGAGCCAGCAAAACCGGGUGUCGGACGUGCGGCCCGCCGAGCCCGCGUUCCUGUCUCGCUUCAAGGAGCGAGUCGGCUACCGGGAAGGGCCCACCGUGGAGACGAAACCUGUUCCCUGAAAUGUCAAGACAAUCCAGCCGCAGCUCCCAGAUGAAGAGGGUGAUCACAGUGACAAAGAAGAUGAGCGGCCCCAAGUGGUGGUUUUAAAAAAGGGAGACUUGACAGCUGAAGAAGUUAUGAAAAUUAAAGCAGAAAUAAAGGCUGCCAAAGCAGAUGAAGAACCAGCCCCAACUGAUGGAAGAAUCAUGUAUCGAAAACCAGUCAAGCGGCCCUCAGAAGAAAAAUACUCAGGUUUAACAGCAAGCUCAAAAAAGAAGAAAAAAGAGGAUGAAGUAAAUAAGCAAGAUUCCCUUAAAAAGAACUCACCAAAGCAAAUAAAAAAUAGCAGCCUCCUUUCUUUUGGGAAUGAUGAUGAAAACGAGUGAGCGUGAACGUUUUAGCUUAGUCUCCUUUGAAAGUACAGGAAAUAUUUUUUAAAAUAAUAUAUUUCCUGUUUUUUAAGUAAGAUUUUUUCCUAGUUAUAUAAGUUCAUUAUAGAAAAUUUAGAAAAUACAGCAA